rnacentral:lncRNA from 1 species
CUGUGGAGGUGAGUAAAUCUACCAUCUUCAGAUGGCCGUCAAGGUUUGUAUGCACCCAUUAUGGCAUAACAAUCUACUGAUUGCUGUAGUGUUUGAAAGGUUUCAUUGCAGGCUGAUGUGUCAUGGAGGAGUGUAUGGUGAAUGAGGGAUGGUAUAACUGGUAUAAAACUACUCCUGGCAUCAGAUGGAAGGACCUAGACACAGGAAGAAAGGAGGGAAAAGCUUCUCGCCAUUAUCAGACAGUGGUCAUCUUCAUUCUGUGGACCAGCUUUAGAUCAUCAAGGUCCCUGAUGACUUCCAGCACAGCUGCUCAGAUGGUCAGGCCCAACGACCUCGUUUCUCAUGAUGACGGCGUCCUAUGGGUGAUGACCAGGGAUCUGACCCGGAUGUGAAAACUGUGACUGUGACUUAUUCUGGCUGGCUGACCAGAAUAAGAGAAUUGCUGCCCCUAUUUAUACAACCUAAGAGGAGGAGCUCAGUUUUUGGAAGGAGCAUCAGGGAUCCAGCGACGUGACGUGCAAGCUGAAGACUUGUCACCACCGUGAGAUCAUCGUUGGAACGACGCCUAGGUGUAAAUUACAUGUAGUGGAUUCCCUAUGUUUUACUUCUCUUUAAAUUUAUGCUGACAAACUGUAUUUAUUCACUAAUUGCUUUUUGGUUCACUGCAAGCGGAAAACCGUGAUCGCCCGAAUACGGGGGUCGUGGGGGAAUUUUCCCAUUAAAAAGCUAAUAUUGGGUUUUUCGCCCCCACUUGCAUGUGUUUGUGUUGCUACCACGGAUCAAUUUAUUCUGUUACAUAUUUUACUUUUUUUUUUUUUAUUCAUCUGCUGUUUUCAUAUAUUCCUACUAUACAC